ACUUUCCCCUGUUGUUUUGGCGCUGGGUAAAAGGGACAAAAUGUACCUGCAUACGCAUACAUGUGCGUGUCAUACAUGGAUAUACAUACGUAUACAAAACACACAUUUAUACUGUAUAUACACAGGAUAUAUAUUUUGCAUAUACAUUACAAGUAUGUGUAUGUAUGCAUAUAUACAUGUACGCACACGAAUACAUUUACAAAGGCGCACACACACAUAUAUAUUUACAAGUGGGCCCUCGCACUGAUCCAAGCCCCGGAAGAGGGGGCGGGUGCUGCCCAGAGGCCCCCCUGCCCCACAGCCCUCCCCGUCGGUGCCGCUGCACAGGCAGCCACUGCUCAUCAGCCCCCGACGUGACACUCGGCUGCCCAGCGGGCCACCGAUGGCCAGGGAAAGGGAAGAAACUCCCCGAGAGCCCGGGCUGUGCCCAUGCCCCCGGCUCCCCGCUUCUCCAGGCAGCAGAGACCCCGCGGUGGCCCCACGCACCGUGGCGUGAGCAAAGCCGGGGGACAUGGAGCUCACGGGGCUCGAGGCCGGCUUUUGCAGAGGUUGUCACAGCAGCCCCUAAAAAAGCGCGAUGCCGGGGUCUCUCCUCCCCAUCCGAGCGACAGGAUUAAACUCGGCCCGGACAGGACCGCGCUGCCUCCGACCUGGCUUUGUUGCAGCCCAGACCCGACGGGAGCCUUUCGCGCUCCGAGGGGACCCUUCGGGAUGCUGCGAGGGGCACAGGCGUGGGGAGACACACACACGCACAUACACCCACCCCCAAGGGUGGCCCCAGCAAUCCCCAGCCGUGCUGGGCUGCAGCCGACGAUCAAAGCAGUGAGGAGAAAACUCUCGGUGCGAAGGAGAGACUAGGUAUAGCGGUGGGCAGAGCCCAGAAAGACGCCUUUCCACGACCGCGGACAUGGGGAGGUCCCCGAGGGCGAUUGGAUCGCCCGUUUGCAAAACACAAUGCACCAGUCCUUAAUAUUAAUCCCCGGGAGAGGCCUGGCCGGUGGGCUAGUGUGUUUGCUUAAGCUCGCCCGCCCCUCUGUAAUUAUCCUAUUACACCAGAAAGGGCCCGGCCCUGCGUUGUCGAGGGAAAGGCCACGCUCUUUAACCUUCCCGCCGCCGGAGGAGGCCCCGUCUCCGCGGGCGGGACUUGCGCGGACCCCCGUGCCGGCACCGCUGCUUCUGCUUUCCCUUCCCGAGUCGCCCUCGCCGGGGCGCGCCGCCGGGGUUGCUGGUUUCCUCUCCGCGCCCAGGGGAUGGCGAGCAGGGAGGCUGGGAGACCUUCGGCAUCUAUUGCUUGAAACGUGGGGCAAGGAGCGGGGGAGCAGCGUCCCGACGUGCCCCGGGCCCAAUCCGCACAGCCUCUUGCCCUGUCCCGUUCUAAAUCCGCACCCCUUCCCUCUCAGUAUGCUCCGGUUGGGACUUUUCGCCGAGCAAAACAAACCAAAAAUAAUCUAGGAAAAAGCACCAGUCGAAAAGAAACUUCAGCCUUUCGGGGAAAUUCUCAAAAUUCAAUACAACCUCCGCCCGCCGUCGAAACUGGACUCAUUAGCAGAGGGGGAAACUUCACCGGAUGGAAAAUAAAGGAAGAACGUUUCUUUCUCAGGAGCAGAUGUCCUCAUUUUAUACACAAGAUAGAUCAGUAUGAUAUGAUGGUGAAGAUCCAGACUCAAUUCCAUCCUUUGUCCAUGGGAAUUCAACUGCAGUCCUCUUGUCUAUGAAGAAUAUGUUCAGGAGAUUUUACCCAUGGUUUUGGAAGUCAUUACUGAGAAAAAAAGCAUCGGCUGGGAUCAAAAACAUGCAGCAGACCCAAGAUCAGGAAUAAUCAUGAAAUCUGAGUGUCUUAGUUUUCCCAUUUCUUUGUUGGAAAUGUGCUGUGAGAAAGUCUCAUCCCAGGGAGGUUCCUUGUCUGUCAUACUGAAGGCACGUGAUAUCUGGCUGUGUGAUUUAGGGUUCAACCUAGGAAUAAUAUAGUUUUUGCCAAGGAAUACGGUAAAUUUUCUGUAACUUGAGGCUUUUAAAAUAAUUUGGGUGUACAGAUACAUAGCAUGUUGAGUUAUAAACUCCAGGUCUCAUUUCUAGCUCUUCAAAUUUCAGACUAUUCCCAUGAGGCUAAGCACACACAAGUCCCAUGGGUGGCAUCCUGUGGCCUGGAUUCCACUGGAGAUUCCAGAAGAUCUCUGAGAAAGAGGAAAUUGUAAUGAUCCCUUCUGAUCUUCAGACUUACAGAAUUGUUCCAGACAUGCAGGAAUACUCUUACAAAUCUCAGAAAACACCCUUGUUUCUCAGUCUCCUCUUUUAGCUGUGAUCACAUACAAUACCAAGUUGUUUAUUGUGAGAAAAGAAAAAAAAAAAAAAUAUAUAUAUAUGAGCUAAAUAAAUACAUCCUGCCAAUUUUUUACCAAAAAAAGCUAAAAUAGACCCCAAAAAAUCCUAACCAUUCUUUAAAGCCCUGAAUGUCAGAAGCAAAUAUAUUUUAAUGGAUUUUUCAAAAGAAUGCAGACGCCUGAAGAAUUGUGUAAAUUCUUUUUGUUGUGAGGAACCUUUUUAAAGAUAGAACAAUAAACACAUAUUCACAAUAUAUAAAAAUAUCUCUACCCAUAAACAUGUAUAUAAAUACACAUAUGAGAGGUUAUGCAGAACAUUAAGUUGCACAUCACUACUUUAGAAAGAGCAUAAACGGUUCUUUCUGAUCUCUGUGUUUGUGAACAAAAACACCCAAAGAAACUCAGUCAUCAAAUUCUAAAUCACACAGCAUUUAAAAAUGAAGGGGAAAAUAUGGACUGUGACCAUGUCUUAUUUAUAAAUAUGUGCUAUAAAAAGCCAGAAUGUAGACUUUAUUUUUAAAUUCAAUACACAAGAGGAUACUGUUUAAGUAGACAUUUGCAGUACCUCCCUUGAAAGAUUAGUUCUUAAAAUGAAGAUUAAUACAGACAAUUUGAAUAGUGCCAUUGAAAGGAAGAUGGUGCCGAAGCAGUCUUUGGCUUUGCAUGGUUUUGGUGAAUUCUUUGAUGCCAUUAAUUACUGACGGCAGAGCUGGAUGGUAUGACACAACAUGUUGCCCUGGGGUGUAGAAGGCAGAUAAACCUCUCUGGAAAAUGUUCAUGCCCUCUUACUUUAGGUGUUUAGCCCAGACAGUGAAGUUAGGAGUGUUGGUACCUGCUACGAGUCAUCAAGAGCUCUACACUUGAUUCUUCAGAGCACCUGCAUUAGGGAUUUUACCUGCACUUCUGUCUUAGUCCCUCUAAAAUAUAUGCUUCUCAAAGGAUGACUGUCUCUGUCCCCUCAGUGAAAUCUCAUUUGAUUCAGUUCAGCAGAGAAGUUUUUCUGCUCCAUUAAAUAUCAAUUCUGUCAUUGUGUUUUGGGAGAAGACCAUCCAUCCAUUAAGAACUGGGCACAGGCAAAUUGGACAAGAAAUGGUAAUGUAUUUUGUACACUGUUGACUGAGGCCUCUGUGCAGGCAGAAUACGCCUAAUUUUAAGUGGUCUCACUGACUGCUGGGACUGCUGACAUGAUUAAAAUUAAGCACAUGUUUCAGUCCCUUCCUGAAUCAAAGUUUAAAUGAGAUUCGAAAUGGUUGCUUGACUUUACAUCACAUUAACAUUAGCAAUUUCCUGGCUAUUGUUUUUCUUCCCCCACAGUGGCGACUUUUCCAAAAUGGAUCCCUCAUAUGACUGUAAAGGUAAAUGAAAAUCAGGGUCAUUAAAUUUACUGUCUGUAAAACACUGGUGCCUAACAAACAGUAUCUUUACAUUUAGAUGGCAUUUUUAUCCUGAGGAAUCUCAAAUCACUCUAUAAACCUUGACCUUGAUCCUAAAGUCACUUACAUACAUGAGCAACUUUAUAAUGCACAUCGAACAGGAUUACACGUAAAUGUAAAAUUACCCAGAAGCUUAAGUGUCUGCAUAUUGAAGAUCUUAAUGUCUAAGUGUCACUCUGGACAAAUGUUAUUAAGAUUGUACUUUAUGCAAAAGCAAUUAAUAUCCUACAUUAAGGAUUCAACCAAGUUUCAGAAGUGCACACUGUUUACUAUAUACUAAAUAGUGUUUCUUGUCUGCAUUCUCACAGCUGUUGCCUUCAUCCCUUUAAAGGAGUGCAAGUAAUUCCAGGAUUUAUUGGCAACUGUCACAAGAAAUGUGUUAAUGAAAAUCAGUACCACAAGUCACAUAAACUAGGCAACAUUUACUAUUUUCCACAUUAUAUUCUCAAAUACUGUAAAUGCCAGAUUAAAAUUCACUAAGCAUGUGAUGACAUCUGGCUGUUUUGCCAGAUUUCUUAGUCCUAUUAUGUUGACUAAUCUGAUGAAAAGGUAAGUCGAGCAAGUCCAUAACAAUAUCACUCAUAACUAUAACUCCUAUAAAUUUUCCUUGUUUGCAGACUCUACUUAAUAUCCAGACAAGGCAUUCUGAUUUAGAAAUAAGCUUCUCUCAGGAUGUCUGAAUUUUUUUUGUUUUAUAAGUUUUACAGCAUUCAUCACUCUCUUGACAGUUGUUCUUGCCCUUAUCUUAUCAAGAAACUACUAAAUAACCCACUGACUUUUUUGAAUUCUAAGUUAUAAGAGCAUAGGAUUUAAAAGAAUCUGUUGUAUCAGAAGGUUGAGCCUUUUUAUUGCAGGUACUUAUAUUGUGCAGCGUUUUCACAGGGUGACCAUGCUGCAGCUUAAAUGCAGCCAGAUAACUUUUUAGCCCAUUUGCAAUGCUGCAAUUCUUUUGCCAGUAAAUGGCUAUCACCUUCCAGGUACAAGGCGACAGCAUAUUAGCACGGGACACAGUGGUUCUUAGCCCAGAGGGAAUUGCCUUGUAGACUGUUGCUUAAAUAAACCUCUGAGGACAGAUUUCUAUAUACUGUCUUCAGGGUCCUUUUGCAUUAGCAAAGUAUCACAACAUCAUACCUAUCUGUUAAAAUGCAGCAAAAUACUUGUUGAUGUACUCAAAAUAAGUGACCUAAGGUUGACUUAAUAAUUUUAAAGCAAGGUAUAAAAGACAGAUUCUUCUCUCUUAUUUCUUUCAUUCAUCUUGCCACUUGACAAUCCUGCCUCUGCUCGGGUCAGCAUGGGAUUUGCUGUUUUACUCUUGUUGGACAACAUUGCUCAUGGUGGGAAAGAUUUUGAGAUUAACAACUGCCUUUGAAAAACAAAUACCCUUCCCUCCCUCUCCUUCACUAGGUUGGUCAGUCUUUUGUUGAGUUCCACAUACGACCAAACCAAUGAGACAAUAUCAGAAAAUAUUCUGUAUCAAAUGUUUGUCUUACAGAAAUUCAGUGGAAUAGAAUUUGGUCAUUAUUUUGCUUGUAUAACUUACAAUGCAUGAACAACAAGGGCACUCAUACUUUGAUUUUACUAAGCUGUUUUUAAAAAAAAUCUAUUUUCAUCCAAGAGAAAAUAUUUGACAUGAUUGUAUUCCCUCUAUUUGCUUCAGCAGAAAACAUUAUUUGUCAAAAUUAUCCAGAUAAAGUGUUGUCUUCAUUUUCCUUAUAUUACAUAUUAUUUCACACACCAUGUAUAAUAAACUCAUGUAUCUGGAGGGCUCUGUCUGUAUUCAGAACUGAUACAUGUGCUAGUUGCUGAUUAUUCUGCUCAAGCACUUCUCAUUAUUCUAUUUAAGUACUGAUCACUCAGAAUUGUCUGAAGAUAAGAUAAAAAUCAGCUUUAUUUCUUAUUCUGAGAAAAGCUGACAUCAGGAUCAAUAAAUUCUGACAGAAGCUAUUAACAUUUUAAUGAGUUACUCAAUAAUAUUCUAAAGAUGUGCUGGCAAGUCAAGCCUCCUUUGAUUAAGGACAAAUUUCUUAGACUACUGUAAAUAUAUGUUUCAAGGUCCAGAAUGCAGAGCUGUCACUUAUCAAUCAAGAAAAAAGGGCAGAAGUCAUGAGUAAAGAAGCUAAAGAGGGGGCUGUCCACAAGAUUAUAAUGAUUACCGUACAUGAUGGAACUUUUUAAGAUGCCAUUCAGCUUAACCAUAUAGAGAGAAAUAUUAGUCCUGUGGUUGUGUCUUUGGUUGUCAUACAACUGAAGAAGUGUCCAUGACUUCCUCCUAAAAUGUAUAGAAACCCCACGAUGUUGAGAGAAGUUGGACACAUCUGUAUGUGGUUGAAAGGAACGGCAAAUACAGGCAGUAAGCCGGGUGAAUGGAAGAGCAAGUCUCUGUGCAAACUCUGCUGAGCCUCAAGAAAAGGGUGCAAGGGGCCAAUAGGGUGAAAUAUACUCAUCUAAGGGUGAAUUUUGCCCUUUAGACUGUGCAAUUUAAUUGCACUAAAAUGGAUCAGGAUUUGACCUAAAGGAGAGAUGUUACCUGACAUAGUGUUAAACCUUGCAACAAAUCUGUUGUCACCAUCAUGCUAUUGAACAUAAUGCCAAUAGGUUACAAGAAAAUCCUGUCUGGGUUGCCGUGCUUACAGAAUAUUGACUUGAGUGCAACAUUUUAAUAAACAAAUAUGAGCCUUUGAACACAAAGUCAGACGUGACUUUUCUAAUGGAGGCAGUCCAAUAGACUCCAAAGUACUGCAAUAAAGCUGGGCACAGCAAAGGGCUGUAGGGGCUCCUCAUCAAGACAUGGGAGAAAGCUGGGGAGGUCACAUAAAAUCACAUUAGCAAGUCUUCCCUCUAACUAUGAACAUACAGAAACUCGAAUCAUGAAACCAGCCAAAAAGAAAUUCGUGUUAUUAGAUAAGCUCCACCAUGGGGCUGCCUUACUCACAAUGAAAGCAUUCAUUGGUUACAGCAGGAGGUAUUGCUCUGAACAUGAGAUGAAACUCUCAUCAAAAUUCAAAAGUGAAAGGCUGCAAACACAGAAGGGGCAGCAAAAUGCUCUUAAAUAUUUUGUGUCAUUGAUGAUAAACUCCUUGAACAGCCGAGUUUCCAGUUUGUAAUUUAAGAAACAGACAUUUGUAAUAAAGAACUGCAAAAGAAUACAAGACGUUCUUUCUGCACCAGCAGAGGAUGCCCAAAACAUGGAACUGAAGCUUUGGAGUUCAAUGACCACAAUACUACAGUUCCUAAAACACAAAUUUAGGUGAAGACUCAGAACUGCCUCUGCCAGUGUAGAGCACUGAUGCUUUAUAAUGAAGAAAACUUCCUGUAAAAGACAACAAGGAAAAGGAAGAAAAAUGAAAAAAAGUAACAAAAAUUUGAAUAUGCUUUCUAUCCUGUGCUAGAUUCUCUCUUCUAUAAUUGCCUGUAUCUAUGGUAUUAAAAUGUUGCCAUAUGAAAAUGCUCCAUUCAUCUCCUGAGAACUCCUCAUAGGCAUCCUGCUCAGAAAUUAGGAGUGCUAGGACUUCACAAGCAAGCAGGUCAUGCAACCGUUGAGUAAAUUGAAUUCCAUUACACUGCAGAGGGAAAUAUUCCAGAUUUCUUCUCUUCAUGCUUUCUAUAUAUAUGUUACAUAUAAUGUGCGUGUAUGUGCAUAAACAAAACAGAAGAGAUUCCAGGAUUCCAAGACCAAAAUGAAAACAUCGGUAUUCAUAAAAACAUUAAACAACUGAGGCUUUGUUGCAGUCAAGUUGCUGUUGGCACUCACUGGUAGACGUGACAUUUAUUUACCUCUCUGACGGCCUCAGUGCCUCAUGACAUAAAACAGCAUUUACGGGACUAAGCCUUGAAAACAAAACUCCUAGGAGAGUCAUGAAUGCCACUUCAGUAUAUUGGGCAGGUGGCAAAGGGAUGGAUGUCACCCAAACUUGUCGAUAUGCUCUUAGUUUUUCUUUAUUUUUUGAAACUUUCGUCAGGCAUUCAUUGCACAUAAAUGUCAACAGUCAGGAAUAACUUCAUACACAACUGUAUUUUCUUAAUUACUGUUUUGACCAAAAGGAUUGUCUUGCAAUGUAUGAAUGGAUACCACUGAAGAUUUGCUUGGUGAAGCAGAAUGUGUUGUGAAGAUUGCUUACUCUUUUUUUCUAUUGAAGUUCUUGCACUGAAUGGGAUUGUGUGAGGACUCCCUUCCAUGUUCAUGUAGAGACUGGAUAAUAUAAAGUUCUCCACAUUAUUUUUUAGGUGCAUAAAGUCUUUGAGACCCCUAAAUCAGUUCUUCUGCAAAUGGCCAGAAUGUCUGCCAUCCCUGCAGAGCUGGCAGGUUGGGUUCCUAGGACCCUACUGAAUCAUUUUAUCCAGUGCAGAUGUCAUGUAUAAUGUAUAAGCAAGCCUAAGAGCUGGUCUAAGUCCCUCUCUCUGUCUUCACAAGCGAGGAGACCAUGCACCUGACUAGAGCAUCACAGUCCUUCUUUACACAAUGGCUCUUGAGGACUUUUUGUGUGCGUGUGACCCGGCAAACAGAGGAGUGCCCAGCCUCACCAGUAGCUCUGUCACCAGGCUACUGUCUUGCGAGAGCCUUGAACAACCUGUGUCCUGAGAAGUGCUUUAGCUGCUGAAUUAGAGGACAAAAGGUUAUUGUGAUGACUGCAACCUCUUGCUCUUUUUUAGCUUGUGUGAUAAAAGAGGAGAGUGACCUCUUGCUAUGUUGUUGAAAGGAACAACAGCUCGGGUUAAGAGCCUAACCUCCAAAAGAAGCAAAAUGCAUGACAUGCUGCUCUUUAAAGCAUUUCUCACUAGCUGAUUUGUAUGAGUCCCUGCUCAGCAUGCUGGCUGCAGUGAGACCCAGACAGCACACAGAGGAGCCAAGCAGGUAACCAGGAUCUAAGCCAUGAGGCAGGGGAGACAAGAGCAUCUACAUCCCUCUGUGGACCUGAUCUCAAGGCUUGACUUUGGCUUCUUUUAUGACAUGCGGAUUAGAUUCAGUUUUGAUGCAAAUGGAUUCUGUUGACUUCAUUACAGCUGCACAGAUAUGAAUUAGAUCUUGUUUCCACUCACAGUUUUAUAGAUUCUUGCAAAAGGCAUGUUUUUGAGAAACAUCUCAUUUUCUUCUGAGGGACUUUCAAAGGAGAUGAAUCAAAAUAAUCCUCUGAAGUUUUUCAAAGCUUUCUCGAUAAGGUCUAAUUUGCCUGUUGAAAGUAAAAAAAAAAAAGGUAAUUGGAAAUGAAAAAAAAAUCCUCUUUAUGUUGACAGGCCUUUU